UACGUAGGUGACAAGCGUUGUCCGGAUUUACUGGGCGUAAAGAGCGCGCAGGCGGUCGAUCAAGUCGAGUGUGAAAGCCCCCGGCUCAACUGGGGAGGGUCAUUCGAUACUGAUCGACUCGAAGGCAGGAGAGGGUAGUGGAAUUCCCGGUGUAGUGGUGAAAUGCGUAGAUAUCGGGAGGAACACCAGUGGCGAAGGCGACUACCUGGCCUGCUCUUGACGCUGAGGCGCGAAAGCUAGGGGAGCAAACGGG
rnacentral:rRNA from 1 species